rnacentral:lncRNA from 1 species
GUACCCCACCCUACCCCAAGGCAGCAAAUGACAGUUUUCUUGACAUACUAGGAUUCAAGCCAUGUUGAUGGCUGUCUCAUUCAUUAUUGAGAUUACUGACAUAUUUUAUGUUCAGUUUACUUACUUCAAGUAGACACUUAGCAAGUGCCUACUAGGUGAAAAUUAGCUAGUUAAAUUUUUGGUUAGAGAAAUGCACAUCUCAGUAAAGACACCAAGAAUGUUCAAAGCAUGAAACAUUAGCUGUUUAAAUGAUGUUUAUUUUUCUCAGCUGAUUCUCUUGCUAAACGCAUAAAAUUCUCACAACUGUUACUCUCUACGUAAAUUACUAAUGUGACAAUUACAAAAAUUCCCAAGAUUGUUCAUCAUGAUUCCAAGAUCAUGUGUAAUAGUGAAAACUUUAAAAUAUGCUAAGUGUCUAUUAACAGAGAAAUUGAUAAAUGAAUAAAAAUGUACACACUUAUGGUAGAAUAUUAUAAUGCAUAUAAAAAGGAAUUCGCUAUAGCUACUUUCUUAAAUCUAUCACCUCUUUCUUUUUUUCUCUGCCUGCCUACUUUCACACUUGGAUAGAGUCUCAAACAUAGAUUAAAAAAAUGUACAAUCAGUACAGUGUGAAAGUACCUGUAUCUCAAUAAAACUAGAAGACAAAAAGAAAAAAUUAAACUAUAUAAAUUCCUAAUUAAUCAUAUUAAAACAAAAGCAAACAAAAAAAUUUAAACAUAUAUAAAAGAAUAAUUUUCCUAGUUACAACUAUAAAUAAUGGAAGAUAUGCACACUAAAUUCCUUACAGUGUCUAUUUUUGGGGAGAGAGUGAGAGGGAAAGUAAUAAUAGUUGAAGAGCACUUAUUAUGCACCACGCAUUGUUCUAUAUACUUAAGUACUGACGUUAUAAAACGUCAUAACAGAGCUUGGAAGUACACAUGUUUCUUACAACGUGUGUGUAUUUUACAAGACUGAGGUGGAGAGAUUUUACGUUUGCUCCUCAAAGGGGACAGUUUUAUGUGUACGGUUUCAUUCCUUUAUAUCUGAAAUUUACUGAUAUAGGAAAUAUUAAUAAAGAAAAGAUUUAUGUUAAAGAAAAUAAAAUAGGAUGAUAAUUUCAUUCCAUUUCUCAUCAGAGUAACUUGAAACCAAAUGGAAAGGCAGCUUGCCAAAUUUUACAUUAUUACAAAGGUUUGUUUCAAAAUAUCUUCCAUAUUUAAAAAAAAUGAAAACAAAAAAUCAACAACAACUAAAAAUAAUGGUUGAUUUUUUCCCACAAAAGAGUCCAUCAUAACUUCUGUCGUAAGCAACAUCCCCUGAGAUACGUAAGCAACAUCCCCUGAGAUACGGUCCCUCAAAUUUCAGGAUCAUCUUUUUCCCCCACCUAUCCAGAGUACUCACUUAAGUGUCACCUAUAAUUAAAUACUUACAAGUAAGAAGCACCUUUAGAGACCCUGAUCAUAAAUAUUACGAGGGAUGCUUAAAGGGGAAAUAUGUGUGGGUAGGUUUUCAUUUGCUAAAAUAAAUAAUGGGGCAGCGUCAUUGCAUGUGUUCCAUAUUUUUGAUGGCCAGGAAGAGUCAUGGAGCCUACAAGAGAUUUAUGGGGAACAGAUGAGCAGUGUCUGACUUGAGGACACAUCCUCAAGGAUGCUGUAGGAAGUGGGUGAGCACGAUUACUUUCUGAGCCACCCCAGAUGGACUGUGUUGGGGAUUUUCAUGGUUUUUUUUUUUUUUCCCUUUUACUUCUGUUUAAUAAAACAGGGAAUGGACUUAUGUAAAUGCUAUUUGGGAAAGUUCCAGAGGUUUAAAAAUGGUGUUUUUGUUUUUACUUUUAUUUAAUCCUCAUAGGCUCACCUUUUAAAAAUACUGUUUACAGAUUUAGAUAACGGUGACUCUCUCUCUGUCUCCACAACUGACUUGACUCAACCUAGAAGAAACACUCAGGUUUCAGUUCAAGCCCUUGGUCUGCACAUAUUUACACUAGACUAUGAAGGUUUAUUCAUAUGACUCUUUGCUAUUAAGCAUUAAAUACCCUAAGAAGCAACAAAACGUGGUGUCUGAGUACCUGGCCUCUGAUACGCAGACCCAGGUAUCAGGAUCCUUUUUAAAAGCUUGUAUGAUCUUCUAGCUAUUUGGAAUUUCCAAAACUUAAUUUCCAUCUUUAUUCAGUGGGCCAGUCACAAUUAUGCCCAGCUCUCAGCCGUCAUGUAAAUGCCCUGUGUGUAGACGAGGCUGGCUAUAUGUUAGCUGACGGCAGACCUUCGGUUUCGUGUAACCCAGGUCCGUAAAUGGUAGCACCAAGACAGUGACCACUAAGGUGAGCCUCGUCUUCCUCACUGCUACCACCAUCGUUUCAUUACAAUCACCUCUGGAGGCACAGAUGCUAGACAGGAAGGGCUUGGGAGUUCUGAUUACGGGGAAGAAUCAGGAGGGAACAGAGAGAAUGGAUCAAGGGAAAAAAAGAGGAAACACGGAGGAGAGGAUGAGAAAAUACGACAAAGAGAAGGCAGAAGAGGAGAUUCCAAAGAACAAAACUAGGUGUUCUACCUUUCUCUUCCAACAGUUUCCAAAAUUUUAGAGAGUAUAAGAAAUAACCAGGUCCAGGAGAUGCCUUUUGUUUAUUUCAUUCUUGCCUCUUGACCCCGGUACCCAGGGUGCCAGCCAGUUCCCAAGCAGAUGGAGCCCUGCUCCAUGUCUGCUGUCUUACCUGUCUUUCUCCUUCUUAACUGAAGAUUCUCUGGACUCUGAUGUUUCCUGCUGUUAUCAGGGAGACCAAUGCAUAAACGGGUUUGUUUCCUGAUUGGAAUACAUUAGGGAAAGUGGUCCCCACCAUUUCUAAAAACACAGGCAAUUGCCACGAGAGAGUGAGACUGAAAAGAGAGCUCACUUAUAGCUUUUCUGCUGACUAAAAGGCAGAAGUGAAAAUGAAUCCAGGAAAUAAUUUUUAAGCAUUUGAAUGCUUUAGCAUUUGGAAGAGAGAGGAGAGAGAGAGAGAGAGUACACAAAGAAGAAGAAAGAGGAGAAAACUUAGAUGUGUCCCCCUAUAUCCUAUAAUUCAAAGCCUUAGUGGGUGCCUAAAAUUCAGAUUCAUGGGCUUCAGCCCCUUCCUACAGAAGCAGAACGAUUAGGCACUGGAUUGGGAAUCUGUAAAUUUGUGUUUCAACAAGUUUUCCAAGUGAUGAGACUACCAAAUAAAGGUUGAGAACCACUGCUCUAUUCCAGAUGUGAAACCAGAACAUUAUUCCCAGUUUGUUCAUAUCUGCAAAAUUUCCCGGGCCAGGAAGGACUUUCCAGAACUUUUUUCCUGCUAUCCUUGGAGGGGAAGUUUCUUCUGGUCUUCAAAGUUUUUUGACGUUUUCAUGAAAGCCUCUGUUUUCCUGGCAUUUCUUUGACCUGAGUGUGACUUGGCAGCGGCAGCUCACAGCUGGUUCAGGAAUCCCUUGCCCUGCCCAGGCCCUGGGUGUCGAUAGUGUUCUCACAUUUAGUCAUUCUGCCCCAUCCUCACGGUUUGUGCAAUACCCUUCCCUCAACAACUGCCUUCUUUCUGCAUCUCCUGACAAUAAUUCCCUCUUAGGUACUUAAACGAAAAGUUACAUCACUAUAAUCAGCGGAAACAUUUGCCAUAAGUAACUGGAUGAUGAAAAAUCCCAGUAUUAUCCACUGCUGCUUGCAAAAGUUUCAGAAUUUGUUGUCUAUUCUUCCUGAUAAAAAGCACGAGAGAGGUGUUUAAGACAGGCAAACACCAGAUGAAACUUUCUUAUUGAUUAAAUCAGAGGAUCUGAACCUGUAUAGAAAAAGAUACUGUUUUCACUUUGUGCCUGCCUGCUACUUAAAACUAUCUACCCUCAGCCCAUAAUGGGGCAACUCUGACUUUAAAAACUUCCAGAGAUGGGUUUGCUUUCCUCGGUUAAAACUCUGUGUGGAGCACUGGUAGGCUUGGGCAGAGGAGAGAGUCAUUAGGAGUUUCCAUUGGAGGAAACAAUGAUUCUAGUCACCAGAGAUGGACAUGGGUUUUCUCAUUUUAACUCCUAAUAAUCAUAUCGCCAUCAUUUAUUCUUUUCAGCAAUAUUUAUUUAUUUAUUUAGGCUGCACCUAGGGCAUGUCAAAGUUCCCAGGCCAGGGACCAAACGCCAGAUUCUUUACCCACGGGGACACCAGGGAACUCCCCCAAGAAUAUUUAUUGAGCAUCAACUUUGGGCAAGGCUUUGUGGACACAAAGCAAAUAAGACAGGAAAUCCCUUUGAGGUCAUAUGCUCAGAGUCAGUAAUUUAACACUUAUUGAGCAUUCGCUGUGUACAAGGCACGGUUCUAAAUGCUUUGCAAGUGCUCAUACUCUGCUUCUCCCAAGCACCCAAGAGUUUUCAUUAUCUCUACUGAUAAGGAAACCUAGGCAUGGGAGGAGUAUUAAUUUGUUAAUAAUAAUGACUAAAUUUUCUUCACAGCUUCCCAGGUACCACCAUGGACCAAGCAUGUUACCUGAUUUCUCAAUGAAUCCUUUGCAAAAUCCCGGCCAGAUGAGUCCUUUUGGUAGAUUCAUUUCGGAAAUGAGGAAACUGAAAGGUUGGCAGGUAAGGAGCCUUAGGUCACACGGCAAGGAAAUGACCCACUGGGGAGAAAUGGAAGCCCAGUCCAUUGUCUCCAGGGUCCACCCGCUGCCCUUACUCUGUAUUGUCUGGUGGGGGCGGGGAGAUGUGUGAAGAGGCAAGUCCAAGACUGCAUGAAAUGUGCUUGAAAAAGAGGAGUCUCCCUCUGUGCGGUCAAUUCCAGAAUCAAGGCAGCUCUACUUUCCCUUGUUCCUACUUUGGCUCAGAGAAUAGCAGAUGGACAAGUUUUAGUAAGAACCUUAUGUAUAACUAGAGGAAAAAAGCAAAAAAAAAAAAAAAAAUUCAAGAAUAUAAUCGGAUAAAUAGGUUUCUCAUAUGCAGAUACACAGCUUUCAGUAUCCUCUUCUUCUCCACUCACA